CCUACGGGGGGCAGCAGUGAGGAAUAUUGGUCAAUGGACGAGAGUCUGAACCAGCCAAGUAGCGUGAAGGAUGACUGCCCUAUGGGUUGUAACCUUCUUUUAUAUGGGAAUAAAAUGUUCCACGUGUGGGAUUUUGUAUGUACCAUAUGAAUAAGGAUCGGCUAACUCCGUGCCAGCAGACGCGGUAAUACGGAGGAUCCGAGCGUUAUCCGGAUUUAUUGGGGUUAACGGGAGCGUAGGUGGAUUGUUAAGUCAGUUGUGAAAGUUUGCGGCUCAACCGUAAAAUUGCAGUUGAAACUGGCAGUCUUGAGUACAGUAGAGGUGGGCGGAAUUCGUGGUGUAGCGGUGAAAUGCUUAGAUAUCACGAAGAACUCCGAUUGCGAAGGCAGCUCACUGGACUGCAACUGACACUGAGGCUCGAAAGUGUGGGUAUCAAACAGGAUUAGAUACCCGGGUAGUC
rnacentral:rRNA from 1 species